rnacentral:rRNA from 1 species
UACGGGGGGAGCAAGCGUUGUUCGGAUUUACUGGGCGUAAAGGGCGCGUAGGCGGUCAGCACAAGUCAGUUGUGAAAUCUCCGGGCUUAACUCGGAAAGGUCAACUGAUACUGUGCGACUAGAGUGCGGAAGGGGCAACUGGAAUUCCCGGUGUAGCGGUGAAAUGCGCAGAUAUCGGGAGGAACACCCGUAGCGAAGGCGGCACUCUGGGCCGGAACUGACGCUGAGGAGCGAAAGCGUGGGGAGCAAACAGG